AGCAUGUCUUAAUUCUAACACAUAUGUGAGUAUAUCUAAAUUCUCACAUGGACGCUGCAUGACUCAACUAAUCGAAAUCGCCUAAAAUUUGCUCUCUAGUUUUAGAUCCUUAUUAUUACUCCUACAUCUCACGGUGAUCAUGGUCUGCCAACAAUCUCACAGUAUCCAUCUCGGCCUUACGCAGUUCCUUACUGUCACAGGCAAGAUCUGCUCGUUGACCAUCGUCCCGAUGUCCACUGCCGUCCUCCAGGCAAGAGCUUCCUUGCUCCUCCAUCUCUCGCAACUCCGAUUCCACUAAAGACUGCAUGCGUGCACGGUCCCUGUCCCUGGGGUAGCUGCAGUACAAGAACGAGUAUAUGGAGGUGCAGACUAUGAAUGGUAUCGCUGUGCAAGUGUACAGCGCCUUGGCCAGGGAGGCCGCGUUCUGCCGAUCCCGUUGAACGCUCUUCCCCUUGCCGUCUGGAUCGUAUCCGAACACACGUUGAGCUAGGAGACCCACGAUCGGAGGCGCGAAGGAUGCUAGCACGGACUCCAAUGUCCCGUCGAGGGCAUAUAUGCUGGUUCUUGAUUUCUCUGGGACGAUCUCCGCCAUGAUAGGCCUGUAAGAUUGAGCAAGAUCGAGUUGAAAAAAGUUUCACAUCAUUCCGUUCCUGAAUAAUUACAAGAAGAACAUUUGGAUGCAUGCGAUGAAUGGCUUUACAAGUUUGUGGCGGGUCCGUUCCAGGAGAUGAAGACGCCCAUGACGAAGAGGACGACGCCGUAGGCAACGCCGGCGGACGGGUCCUCGGGGAGGCCCAGCAGCAGCACGGCGGCCAAGGGAACUGCCGAGCCGGCGCUGAUCUGGGACAGGACGAUCCUGCCGGCGUCUGGGUACCGUACGGCGAGGGCGUCGCCCAUCUUCCCGCCAAGGGAGCUGGCCACCCAGAAGAUGGUCAUGAGCACGGCGGUGUCGCCGUGGCUGAAGCCGAUCAGCUCCAGCCACAUGGUCCCGAAGGAGAGAGCGGACCACGGGAACGACCCGCUGACCCCCUGCGCCACGAAGAUCUGGAACGUCGGGAUCCGCACCACCAACUUGGCAUCCUCGAUCAUCUCCGCGACCACCUGCCGCGCGGUGACGGCGGGCCGCCGCUUGCCGACCGCCGGAACGUCGACAACGCGCUCGCUCGUCGGCGGGGAAUGGGGAUCCACGGCGAGGAACCAGUUCAGGGCCCCGACGGCGACGCUGAUGGCCGCCACGAGGUGGAACGCGACACGCCAGCCGGCGACGCCGAGAACCGUGGUCUGCGCCAGGAGCAGGCCGACGAAACCGCCAGAGAUGGACCCGAGGCUGCUGGCGAGCUGCAGCCACCCGAACGCCGACCCGCGCGUCGCCUCGUCGGUGGAGUCGGCGACCAGUGACUGGAUCGAUGGCACCACCAGAGCUAGGCCAAUCCCGUUCAGGCCGCGUGAGAUUGCAACCUGAACAUUCGUACAAGUGUUGGUUGUCAAUGAGCACUUCUCCGACAAGAAUCACUCUGCUGAACCACCGCGCAUCUGUCCCAAAUUAAUCUACCACAGAAGAAGAUCUACAGAGCAAAUUGCAAAGGAACAGCAUGGAAGCAAGCGGCGAAGAACAAAUCAAACAGCGCUUGUAAAAGCAGCAGAUCACCUGUAGGAAGGUGCCGGACACGCCGACGAAAAACGUGGCGGCGGCCCAGAGGAAGGCGCCGACGGCGAUGACGUGGGCGCGGUUGUGGCGCGCCGCGGCGUAGGCGGCCAGCGGGUAGCAGGCGGCCUGC
rnacentral:lncRNA from 1 species